rnacentral:tRNA from 1 species
GGGAACGUCGUCUAACGGUCAAGACAUUUGAUUUUUAAUCAAAUUAUAUUGGUUCAAUUCCAAUCUUUCUCA